ensembl:lncRNA
UGUGCAGUGACUACCGCAGUUUCAGUCUAUGGUUCCGUUUCGCCAGCCGGUGCAUGAUGCACAGCUCGUGGCUAUCACGCUAGUGAACACGAAUCGGGAUGGGGGGGGGGAAAAACACAGAUGAGAAGCUUUCCCCGGGAUUAAAACCCCGUCCUCUUGAAAGGUUCUAUAUCGUCGGUCGUCGUUAGUCGGCGUCGGUUCCCUUUCUGUACAGUGCUCUCUACACGCGCGAAAAAUCACACAAAGCACAACUACACGUAAAAUGGUGUGCUUGAAAUGUUUUAUUGGGUUUUAAUUCAGGUCUUUUUACACGUGGAAGUCAGAUGGGAGACCUGAAAACAACAACGGACAAAUUUGUUACAGAGGGUGGCAAGAAGUCCAGAUGAAAUGGACUUGAAUGAAGCAAUACAGUGACUUGCACCGUUGCAGGUGUCCACCAGAUGCUGCAAGCAGACAGAGCCUUUGCAGAAAAACCACAUGAUUUCACAUGUGGAAAAUCAUCUGAUUUCACGUGACAUUUCCACAUGUUUUGCACAUGAGAAAUCAUGUGUUUUUGGAACACAUGAAGUGAUGAUAUUUCACCUGUGGAUUUUCACAGAGAUGUCGAUCCAGCGGGGGGAAAAGAGAGGAAGAGAGAAGCUGCUCAGAAUUUCACCCCCGGAUUCGGAACGUUUCGGAAUCGCCUCUACUGCAGAAUAUUUUCUGCAUGACUGACUCAGACCUUGGCCGAUGGCACGGGACUUUUGGCCAAUCAGAGAACCCCAUGGUCAGACAGACGGACAGCCCUAGCAGUAAGUAACUUAUUGUAAGCUAUUUUAUAAUACAAUUUGUAAUAUAUCAUAUUGUAUAGAUUUGGAUUUGUUUAGUAUUUAUGACUGCCUCAUCUUAAUUUGAAAUAGCAAUUACAAUUACGAUUAAGUGCAAGUGGCUAAAACACACACACACACACACACACACACACCGUACCUAAUCUUCAGAAUCCAUUGGGGCAUAAAAAGUUCUAUGUCUAGCCAACCACCGCUAUCUCUCUGCUGUGCCUGAAACCGUUACAAAAUGGUGUCCGCUCUCUGCCUUCAGCUCCCCCCAGCCCCCUGCAGCUCAGCCAUCCAUUUUGUGUGUCUCUGCCAAAGUAGUCAGGUAGCAGGAUGAGAGGAGAGAAAGAGAGAGAGAGAGAGAGAGCGAGGAGUUGUCCAGAGAGAGAGUAAAAGUGAAGGGAUGGGGUAGGCUAGAUGGGGCACGAGGAGAGAAGAGGGCACUAGUCCAGAGGAUAUUGGGGGGAGAGAGGUAUGUUAAUGUACAGUGACAGGAAGGAAUACAGAAUCUGCUCUUUUCUUAUUUGGAGGUUUAAUUGUUGCCGACUGACUGACUGACUGACUGCAUACAAAACAGCCCUGAAGACAGCACCGCUGGACCCUUCCCAGCUCCUCUUCUCAAAGAGCUGACCUUGGGCAGACGCCAUAAACUGUGUUUUUCCAUUGGCCCAAAAUGUGAUGCUGGCAAGGCCUGCAGCUGCACAAACCCCGUCCCCCCACCCCAGCCCCCUCCGUGCCCCGCCCUGGCUCGACUCCCCCAGCAAGUCUGUGCCUGGCCUGACCCGUAACACAACCUGCCUGGCCUGCUUAUGGUGCAGAAGAGCCGGGGCCGCCCGAGCUCUAUCCAAUGCCCCUACCAUUUCCCCAGCCCAAGCUCCAACCUCAGCCCAGUACCAGCCCCAUGCCCCAUCCUCAGCCAAGCCCCCAGCCCCAGCUCCAACCCUGACCCCAACCUCAGACCCACGCUAAGCCCUAAACCUCCAAUCCUUAGCCAGUACUGCCCGCGGCUCUGGAAUUCUGCGCAUGCCAGGCAUUCGAUUAGACAGACAUAAUAGUGUAUAGAUCCCAUGCUGCCUGGCCAUACUACCACAGUUAUAUGGACAAGGGACAAGGCUUCAAAGACCCAUGGUGUUUAGCUAUGCUAAGCUAACUGUGCAUCAUUCCUUUAUUAGUAAUGUUAGCAAACUCAAAUAUUGCCCCCUUUUAGCCUAUAGCCUAUAGGCUACCAGUAGACCCACAUAGACUCAUCAGAAGCCUACGUUAGGCUGUAGAACACUGUUCUGACAGGCAACACCCCCAUAGCUCAGUUCUUUCGUCCUCUCUCUCUCUCUCUCCCUCUCCCUCUCUCUCUCUGGAUACAUUUCCCCGUGCUUGCAGUCUAGACCGGACCUUGUGGAAAUGAUACUGUGAAGUUGCCUGGCCUCUGGUGGGCCUGCGUUUGUUUAUGGUUACACACAAAGCAGAUGGCCACGCAACAUGGGUGCAUAUCUCACACUAACACUCACUGACACUGCCACAAGCACACACACACUCACCCACGCACACACUCACACUCUCGCACACUCACACACCUGAGGAACAAUCGAGUUGGACUCGUGAGCUAUUUAUUUGAUCUCUGAUCUCUCUUUCUAUUCUCCCGUUAUCAAUGGGUUUCAUGAUUGUCCCAUGUGACUCAUGAGGAUACUUAACUUGAGUAACUAGCUAGCAUUGACAACAGUGGUUUACAUGGCAGACCUGAUCCUGCCAAGGGCUCAAAUGGUAAAAUACAGCAGCUAACUGUAGCUAACUGUAUGUCGGCUAUAGCUAACAUUAGCUAUUUGUAGCUAACAGUACAAUAGAUAACUGUACAGUAGUAGCUAGCGGUAUCAUAGCUAAAUGUACAGUAGCUAACCAUCCUAGCUGCUAACCUGUUCAUCAAAGUUACUGUAUAUACAUUAGCCCCCUGUCCUCCCACUCUUUCAGCCAGUUCAGAGGCAGGGAGAGCGAGGAGAGGAGAGGUAUGUGUCCCACCCUCUAUUAAUAGACAGAUGGAGCUCUGUGUAGGCAGGGCGCUCCGCGGCAGGCGCAAGUCUCGUCAGAUGGCCAGGCGCUGGGGUACCGUCAGAUCGAGGGGUGCAGGGGGGACAGCCAGAGUGGAGGGUUGGAUGUGUCAGAACUGUUGAUUUGUCUUAAUGGACGGGGGGCCACCGGGUCACCAGGAAGAUGCAUGACUCCAUCAGUGCUUCUGUUAGCAUGGUGGCUCGUGGGUAUUAGUGGGACUAUGGCCAUUACUGACACGAAGGACAAAGGGGCGAUAAGACCUGAGGAGUGAAUAGAACAGGAGCCAUAAAGCAGGUGGGCAGAAGAGUAUUUUGGGUCAUAUUGCUGAUCACACUCUACAAUAGUGAGCCUGGAGGCUACAGUUAUGGCUGGCCUUUCUGGAUUCUUUUUGAGAGAGGACCAAAUGCUAAAUGUUUCUCUGUGCUAUAGAAUUGGGAAAAUCACAUUUCUAUCACGUUAGUGUUUGUGUGUGUGUGUGUGUGUGUGUGUGUGUGUGUGUGUGUGUGUGUGUGUAUGUGUGUGUGUGUGUGUGUGUGUGUGUGUGUGUGUGUGUGUGUGUGUGUGUGUGUGUGUGUGUGUGUGUGUGUGUGUGUGUGUGUGUGUGUUUUGUGUUUUACUAUAAAAUUCAGAAAAGUGGGGACAUUUAGCCUGUCCUCACUUGUGCUAUUUUAGGGGUUAGGUUUAGGGUUAGUCAUUAGGUUUAGGGUUUGGGAUAAGGGUUAGGGUUGUGUGUGUGUAUCUGUCUGUCUGUCUGUCUGUCUGUCUGUCUGUCUGUCUGUCUGUCUGUCUGUCUGUCUGUCUGUCUGUCUGUCUGUCUGUCUGUCUGUCUGUCUGUCUGUCUGUCUGAUGAGAAACAGCUGGUGGGUAAAGCUCCCUGCUCUGGGUGAUCCAUGCUGCAUGCCUUGUCACUGCGAUAACUGAGGCCAUUUUUCUUCUCUAAAGAUGAGGUUGGUGCUAGGUCAGCUAAUGUUGGUUAAUGCUGCUUCCAUACAGGCCAUGUUAACGAGGAUUUGCUAUGUGCUAGAUUAUCACAAGAUAUUUUCUAAUCAGACAGACACACAUGCACAGGUGAAUAUCACUCCAUAGACAGUCAACAUGCACAGUUGAACAUCACUCCAUAGACAGUCAACAUGCACAGGUGAAUAUCACAGCUGAAUAUCACUCCAUAGACAGUCAACAUGCACAGGUGAAUAUCACAGCUGAAUAUCACUCCAUAGACAGUCAACAUGCACAGCUGAAUAUCACUCCAUAGACAGUCAACAUGCACAGCUGAAUAUCACUCCACAGACAGUCAACAUGCACAGCUGAAUAUCACUCCAUAGACAGUCAACAUGCAC